rnacentral:lncRNA from 1 species
CUAACAUAACUACAACAUAAUCCAAGUGAGCUUAACAAAUCAAAACAUAACUAGACUAAGUGACAGCCUUCAUGCAACAACAAUAGUGGAGACCGAAGAAGAUUCGGUUUGAGGUUCAUCAUCGCCAUGUAGAAAGUCUUCAGCUAACUUAGAUGCUGGUACUUCGCUUUUGAAGGCUUUGAACGAAAAAAAAUAUGAAUUAAUAUUAAAUAUAUAUCAAUAAUAUAAAAUGUUAACAUUAAUAACACAAAAAACUCAUACCUUUUUCUCCAAACAACCAAUCUCUAGUGCAAAUAAUUGAUUGAAAUUUGAAAUGAAUGAAACCCUAAGGCCUAAACUAAGAAAUCGAAAAUUUAAAAAUUAAAAUAAAUAUUUAAUAAAAAUAAUAAUAUCACUAUCGGGUUACCUGAAUCCGACCUGAACCCAACCCGACCCGACCCGAAAUUAUCAGGUCCUUAUCAGGUCGACCCGAUAAGGACCCGAACCUUAUCAUGCGUGUUACUAACCCAUUAAUUUCGUGCGGUUUCGUGUCGUGCUUUCGUGUCGUGUCGAAAAUUGCCAGCCCUACCCUAGCCCAGCCGACGCCUGAUAUGGGCCAAGCCCUAGCCCAUGCCUUCUCUAUAAAUAUGGAUGCACUGCCCUAAAGGAAGAACUCUUUGACCCUUGAGUUUUCCGACGAGUGCACUGAUCUAGGCCGACCCCCUACGCGGCCACUUUUCUUAUUUUGCUCCUUAGUCCGUUUUUAUAUGUUUUGAACGUGUGAGGCAGAUACAAGGCUACAAGCCAUUUUUUAUUUUAGUUUUAUGUUCUGUUUUGUUAUACCUAGAGUUAGUAUUGGAAAAUAUUACUCCUAGUUUUUGCCUAGACAUCUUUAAUUCAAGUAUGUUUUAUUUGUAUUUCUGCUUUAUCUUUACUUUCAUUAUUAUG